rnacentral:lncRNA from 1 species
UGACAUUGUAUCUAAGGCGCUAAAAGCCAACACUCAAAGCAGGAUUGUAAAAAAGAGAGGUCGCACAAUAUUCGACCUGAUACGAAAUGAUAAGAGUCAAGUACCUGAAGAUAGAAAGGCUGGGGUGUACAGUAUUCCAAUAUAUAACACUGAUGAGAGGUGCUCCCAGCAGUGCAUGGGUGGCGCAGGGAGGGGCUUGGGGACACGGCUUGCAGAGCAUCGAAUGGAUGUCGGGGAGGGAAGGUUGAGUGCGGCCCUGGCGAGGGGGACCUAUGAGCGGGACAUCGCUGUAAUGUGGAGGGACGCUGGGGUUGUCGGGCGGGUCUGGGAGGUUGGUGCUCUCAGUGCUGCGGAGAUGAUUGGGAUUGGUCGCCGAGGGGCCCACCUAGGGGUUGUCAAUGAUA